UACGUAGGGGGCAAGCGUUAUCCGGAUUUACUGGGUGUAAAGGGAGCGCAGACGGUGAGGCAAGUCUGAAGUGAAAGCCCGGGGCUCAACCCCGGGACUGCUUUGGAAACUGCCUGACUGGAGUGCUGGAGAGGCAAGCGGAAUUCCUAGUGUAGCGGUGAAAUGCGUAGAUAUUAGGAAGAACACCAGUGGCGAAAGCGGCUCUCUGGUCUGUAACUGACGCUGAGGCUCGAAAGCAUGGGUAGCGAACAGG
rnacentral:rRNA from 1 species